AUUAAUAGCUUGUCUUAUAUUUCAGCUUACUAAGGAUAAGCUUAGUAAGAGAAUUAGGAAAAUGUAUAAAUUAAAAUGAGUUACGUAGGCUUGAAAUUGGCCAUCGCAGCGAAACUUGUUAUAAAAUGGUCUAUAAAAACUGAAAGAUUUUAAUACUUUUGUUCUACCCUAUAUAGGGGCGGAAAGGAAAAUUGGUAAUUUUAAUCCGGUGUAUGCUAAAAUGAGUAUCUUGUAAAGUUUAUAUAAGAUGGUAAUAUAAAGGACAUCUAUAAUGGUAAUAAUUUAUUUACAAAAUAAAAGGAAGGAACUCGGCAAAUUUAAGCUCCGCCUGUUUAUCAAAAACAUGGCUCUUUGUUAUUUUAAUAUAAAGAGUCGGACCUGCCCAGUGAAAUUUUUAACGGCCGCGGUACCCUGACCGUGCAAAGGUAGCAUAAUCAUUUGCCUUAUAAUUGAAGGCUUGUAUGAAUGGUUUAACGAGAGCACUGCUGUCUCCCCUUUAAUAUUUAGAACUUGACUUUUAGGUGAAGAGGCCUAAAUACAAUUGAAAGACAAGAAGACCCUAUCGAGCUUAAAAAUCAAACCAGAAAUAGCUAUAAGAAUAAUUUAGAUUUACUGCUGGCUGUUUUUUUGAUUGGGGCGAUCGAGGAACAAUAAAAGCUUCCUUUACCAUUUUGACACAUAGGUCAAGAUCCAGCAAGAGCUGAUUGAAAGAAUUAGUUACCGUAGGGAUAACAGCAUAAUCUCCCUUGAGAGACCUAAUCGAAAGGGGGGGUUGUGACCUCGAUGUUGGACUAGAAUAUCCUAAAGAUG
rnacentral:rRNA from 1 species